CCAUUUUGAAAUUUAAAAUUUUGCAAAGUACUUUAUGUAGUUUUCCAUUUGAAUGUCAUGACAACCCUGGGAGAUAGGUACUGUGAAGAUUAAAUUAACUCUCCCCUGCCCAUUUUUAGAUUUAAUCACCAAAACCAUAUACACCUCACUUACACUUGAGGGGGGAUUUCUGUGACCCAUGUGUGAGAUGGUGGGUGAUGAAUCAGAAUCAAGUGAGUGCCCCUUGGGCACUCCUAUGCAAAGCUUUAGCUGUAACUGGUACAUGUAAAAUGGAAGGAAGUCACAGGAAGUGAGGAAAAGGAAUGGUCUUUAAAAAUGCCAAGAACUUCCUAUAAAGGGCCUUUCUGUCUAGCACCUUCAACUUGACUUUGGAGGAGCUCUGACUGAGGAUCUCAGACUGCUUCUAUUUUUCUUAAAACUACCAUGUGGGGUGAGUGAAAAAGUCUGACUCCUUUCUUGGAUUUUCUGAAGGGACUAGCCUCAGGAGAUGCCUCCCCUUGAGAGACACUUCAUGCAUCCCCAGGUCCUCAGCUCAAGGCUGAGGCCCCUCUAUCUAAGGGCUAAUUAACCCUACGUGGAUUGAGCCAGGGGUUGAAGCAAAAUAUUUAGUGGGUAGGUUGGAUAUCUUACCAUAUUCUCUCUCUGAUUUUCUUUUCUUAUUUCACUCUUUCAAUAUUUUUAAAAAUAAAUUGUUAAAAUAAAUCUCUUUGGAAUUUGACUAAAUUCCUGGUGACCCUACUCCUAUAUAAUCCAGUACAACCUUUUAUAUUAACCGCUCACAUUUCUACCCCUUACAGUACUAUGGGAAUUGUCAUCCUCCAUUCACCAAAGGUGGUGGUGGGGAAGGAACCUAAGUCUCAAUGAAUUUGUGAACCACCCAGUGUAUCAUAAUGAAUUGAUGAAUGUUAAUGAAUGGAACGAUUGCAACCCAGCCCUCUCUUGAAUUUGAGUUCAAUUCUUGAACUCUUUCAUCUAUACCGUUAUUUUUUACCAUACUUAUUUUACAGAUAAGAAAAAUAAAGUUGAACAAAGCAACAUCAAUAAUUCAUCCACAUUUUAAAAUACAAGAAAAGGAAGUAUGGAAAUAUUUUUCAAGUGAGAAAACUGAUAUUCAGAAGACCAAAAGCAAUGCAAUUGAUAAAGGGAAACCUGAUAUCUUCUAUGGAGCAUAUAAGACAAAGAGGAGAGAAAUUCCAUCUUCCAGGCAAUUCCUAUGGACUAAAUCAUUUAAAUGAAGUGCUGAAAAGGCAAGUCAGUAGGUGGCCCAUGCUGCCCUUCUGAUCCAUUUUUUUUCUCUCUCUCCUUACUUCUAGAUAUGAUUGUGGUUAGGAAGGAAUCUCUCUUCCACUCUCAAGUUUUUAAUGAAGAGUUUCUAUGACCUUUUAACUUGACCUUUUCUUUCUUCACUGAUUUCUUGUCUGUACUUUGCUUUGAGGAAAACCCUCUUUUUUUAGGAGGUCUCCGAUUAAUGUACUGGCAUAGGAUUGUUGUCUUUUAAUUCUGCUCAUUUAUCUUAGGCACAUAGAGCCUUCAUUACUUCUUGUUGGUUAAUCCUCUUGAGUGGUUAGGCUCUUUUAUUAUAGACUGUCUCCACCUUUCACACGUCAUCACUAUACUCAUUCAAACCUGUCCAAUUAGCCCCUCUACCAACAUGGCAGUCUUUUACCCCUUCACUCAGCCUCUUUUCUUUGGCCACUACCCAAGGGGCUCCUUCUCCCAGCUACAGAACCAUUAGGAUAUACUCUUAUUCCUAUCUUAGCUAUUUAGUGAGUGAUUUUUAUACAUUUUACCCUAACAAACUGCUGGUUAUUUUUAAUUGCUUUCUAGUAAAUGCUGGAAUGCUCUGAUAAUAGUCAACAAAGUCAAGAUCAAACAGAUCUUACUGCUUCCUGGUGGUCUUUAUAUGGUGGGUAUUGAGCAACAAUAAUGUAUGCUCUGAAUAAACUGACAAUGUGGAAAAUGGAGUAGAAGGGAUACAAUGAUCAAACUUUUAAUUUGAAAAAAGUUUCUAUGGAAAAAAAAUAUUGCUAUCAAUAAUAAUAUAGAUGUAGCUGAAAGAGCAGUAGAGAGGAGAUAGGAGAGCUAGUCCUGAUUCUACCCUUAAUUUACCUUGAGCAUAUUUUUUAAACCCCUAACUUUUGUUUCAGAAUCCAAACUAAAUAUUAGUUCUGAGUCAAGGGUAAGGAAGGGCUAGGCAAUUGAGGUUUAGUUACUUGUCCAGGGUCACACAGGUAGGAAGUGUCCACUUUCCUGCUUUAGGUAUAUUUUAAAAAUCAAGCAAGUAAGCAAGCAAACAAGGUAGCAAUGCUUAUUUAGAAUGCUUGCAUUUACUAAGUGCUCACUUAACACAACUGAGGUACUGGGUAAAGCACAGAGAUUAUAAAUAAAAAUAGUGAUCUGCCUAUAUUAGGUAGAUCCAACAUAUUCAUAGGUAAAUACAGAAUAUAAACAACAAAAAUGUGAGUGGCAGUGAAGGUGACACUGGCAUCCAGGGGAAUAGGUAAGGCAACUUUUUUAUUUGUUUCCCAACAGAUUUUUAUUUCCAUUGACAAUAUUGGCAAUGAUAGAGGACUAAUUCAGGAAAAUAGAUCACCUUAAAUACAACAGAGAGAGAACUCAUUAUCAAGUAGAAGCCUUGGUCACCCAACUUCUUAACAUAAAAAAGGAGGGGGAAGUUAAAUUAAAUAAGUUAAAUUAAAUUAAAUUGAAAUUGAAAUUAUUUGUACUUAAAUACAUUAAAUAAAGUUCACCUUGCCAGACUCCAUUACAAAAGGUCUUUCCUUAUUGUCACAAAUGAAAUUUUACCCAUUUAUCAUAGAAGAACCUCAAAAUCUCCAUCUGCUCCCCGUUACAUUCAAGACAUUAAGACAUGUUUUCUUUUAAAAUUUUAGAUUAAAAAACCUUCACAAACAGAGUAGAAUUCACUGGAAAAUGUGCUUUGUUACAGUGAUUUUAAAUCAUCCUUUAAGCCUACCACUGGUCAAUUCUGACAAAAUUGAGGGAGGUGACACUGAGCUGAGCUUUGAAGGGAUCUACUUGAUUUUAGUUUCAGAGGUGAGGAAGAGUAUUUCAAUAAUGAGAUGAUUUGAACAAAGUUGGGAGAUGUACUGUCACAUCUGGAGAAUAACAAAGAGGUUAAACUCUUUAGAACAUGAGCUUGUGAAAAAUGUGUAACUGUUGAAAUUGGAUCGUGUGCUAGUGCCUCUGUGCCCUUUCUCCUCCUACUCAGUCUAGUGAGUCUAUAAAUAAUCAGGAUAAAGGGGAAAUAGCCAAAAAUAAGAUUGCCAAGGGGAACUUCGGAGUCAUGUACAAACUGUACCAUCGAAGGAGCAUAAUUCAAAAAUUGUAUCGUAUAGAACAAAAUUCAUAUCUUAGUAGUAUCAGCAGAAGCCAUCUAGGUAUGGGUCAAGCUCUGGUCAGUUCAAACCAUAAGCAGCUUUAAUAGCCAGGAGUAAGCAACUCCAAUAAGAAUAAAAGUCUGCUAUUUGUCACAUAUUUCAUGAGGGAAGUGUCUUUGUGCCUCUUCAGCUCCGUCCCCCAAUUUCUAAGUGAGCAUAUACAAGAUAAUGGAGACAGAAGGGGAUUGACUUCAAUUGUCAAACAAAGAAGUUUGCAUAUUAUCCUAAAAACAAUAGAGAGACAUGGUCAGGUCUAGCUGGGCCAUUGUUUCUUCAUUUAUUACAGAAAGAGACUAAAUUUGAUCAUCUAAAAUGUUUCUAAAUCUAGA